CCUGGGANGGUCAUUGGAAACUGGGGAACUUGAGUGCAGAAGAGGAGAGUGGAAUUCCACGUGUAGCGGUGAAAUGCGUAGAGAUGUGGAGGAACACCAGUGGCGAAGGCGACUCUCUGGUCUGUAACUGACGCUGAGGCGCGAAAGCGUGGGGAGCGAACAGGAUUAGAUACCCUGGUAGUCCACGCCGUAAACGAUGAGUGCUAAGUGUUAGAGGGUUUCCGCCCUUUAGUGCUGCAGCAAACGCAUUAAGCACUCCGCCUGGGGAGUACGGUCGCAAGACUGAAACUCAAAGGAAUUGACGGGGGCCCGCACAAGCGGUGGAGCAUGUGGUUUAAUUCGAAGCAACGCGAAGAACCUUACCAGGUCUUGACAUCCUCUGACAACCCUAGAGAUAGGGCUUCCCCUUCGGGGGCAGAGUGACAGGUGGUGCAUGGUUGUCGUCAGCUCGUGUCGUGAGAUGUUGGGUUAAGUCCCGCAACGAGCGCAACCCUUGAUCUUAGUUGCCAGCAUUCAGUUGGGCACUCUAAGGUGACUGCCGGUGACAAACCGGAGGAAGGUGGGGAUGACGUCAAAUCAUCAUGCCCCUUAUGACCUGGGCUACACACGUGCUACAAUGGGCAGAACAAAGGGCAGC
rnacentral:rRNA from 1 species